GUGUCAGCAGCCGCGGUAAUACGUAGGCUGCAAGCGUUAAUCGGAAUUACUGGGCGUAAAGCGUGCGCAGGCGGUUAUGUAAGACAGAUGUGAAAUCCCCGGGCUCAACCUGGGACCUGCAUUUGUGACUGCAUAGCUAGAGUACGGCAGAGGGGGAUGGAAUUCCGCGUGUAGCAGUGAAAUGCGUAGAUAUGCGGAGGAACACCGAUGGCGAAGGCAAUCCUCUGGGCCUGUACUGACGCUCAUGCACGAAAGCGUGGGGAGCAAACAGGAUUAGAUACCCUGGUAGUCCACGCCCUAAACGAUGUCAACUGGUUGUUGGGUCUUCACUGACUCAGUAACGAAGCUAACGCGUGAAGUAUCCCGCCUGGGGACUACGGCCGCAAGGUUGAAACUCAAAUAAAUUGACGG
rnacentral:rRNA from 1 species